GGAAUCUGUAGAAAUUACGCUGACAUUUGACGUAUUCAUUCAACUUUUGUCCAACGGAGCAUUGUUGCGAGUUUUCUGCGACCGUUGGAAGUGUUUGUGGAUUUCGGACAACUUUCGAAUAAUUAUUAGUGUUUAUUGCAAAGAAAACUAUUUAAAGUAGUUUUUUAACUAUCUACAAUGGUUCACCAGUGCAUAGUUUGUUAAAGGUGGACUAUUCUAACUCCUGAUUGAUAUUUGGACGCGUUCCUAUAAUUACUGAGCUUAGACAAUGAUCGAUUUCACUCUUGAAUUUGAAAAAUCAAACUAAUGUGUGUCCAAAUUUGUUCUGAUGAUUUUGAUAA
rnacentral:lncRNA from 1 species